rnacentral:rRNA from 1 species
UAAUUCGGGUGCUAUAAUGCAAGUCGAGCGAUGGAUUGAGAGUUUUUUCUUAUUAAGUUAGGGGCGGGCGGGUGAGUAACACGGGGGUACCCUGUCCAUAAGACUGGGAUAUCUCCGGGAACGCGGGGAUAAUACCGGAUAACAUUUUGAACCGAAUGGAUCGGAAUUGAAAGGGGUUUUCGUGUGACUUUUAUGGGUGGCCCCGGGUCGUAUUAUAUAGGUUGAGAGGUAAGGUCUCCCCAGGGUAGCGGUGCAUACGCGCCCUGAGAGGGAGAUCGCACACACUGAGACUGAGACACGCCCCAGUCUCAUAGGGGAGGCAAGAAUAGGGAAUCUUCCACAGUGCAAGAAAGUCUGGGGGAGCAACGCCGGGAGAGUGAUGAAGGCUUUCAUCUCGUAAAUCUCUGGUGAUAGAAAAGAACAAGUGCUAGUUGAAUAAGGUGCCACCUUGGCGGCACCUACCCAAAAAGCCACGGAUAACUACGCGCCAAAAGGCGUGAAAAUACGGAGGUGAAAAGCGUUAUCCAAAAUUAUUGGGCGUAAAGCGCGCGGAGGUGUUUUCUUAAGUCUGAUGAGAAACCCCACGUCUCACCCGAGGGGGGUCAUUGGAAACUGGGAGACUUGAGUGCAGAAGAGGAAAGUGAAAUUCCAUGUGUAGCGGUAAAAUGCGAAGAGAUAUGGAAGAACACCAGUGGAGAAGGCGACUUUCUGUUCUGUAACUGACACUGAGGCGCGAAAGCGUGGGGAGCAAACAGGAUUUACAUACCCUAGUAGUCCCACGCCGAAAACGAUGAGUGCUAGGUGAUUGGAGGGGUUCUCCGCCUCAUUAGUGCUGGUUGAUCCGCGCUAAUAAACUCCUCCGCCCUGGAGAGUACCCCCGCACGCGCUUGAAACUCAGACGCUAAUUAUGCGGGCUCCCCCACACAAGUGUGAGGAGGAAUGUCGCUUUUAUUUUAGCAUCAACCGAGAA